rnacentral:rRNA from 1 species
GACGAACCGUGCGAACGUUGUUCGGAUUCACUGGGCUUAAAGGGCGCGUAGGCGGCUUGCCAAGUCAGGGGUGAAAUCUUUCGGCUUAACCGGAAAAGUGCUUCUGAUACUGGUGGGCUGGAGGGAGGUAGGGGCAGAUGGAACUUCCGGUGGAGCGGUGAAAUGCGUAGAUAUUGGGAGGAACACCUGCGGCGAAGGCGGGUUGCUGGGCUGACACUGACGCUGAAGCGCGAAAGCUAGGGGAGCGAACGGG